GGGGGGGGGGGGGGGGGGGGGGGGGGGGGGGGGGGGGGGGGGGGGGGGGGGGGGGGGGGGAAAGGAAAGGAAAGGAAAGGAAAGGAAAGGAAAGGAGGUGGAGAAGGGAGGGAGGGAAAGAAGGGAGGCAAGAAAGGAAGGAAGGAAAGCAGGGAACCAGGAAGAGAGCAGGGGAGGAAGGGAAGCAGGGAUGGAAGGGGAGGAAGGGAAGCAGGGAUGGAAGGGGAGGAAGGGGAGGAAGGGAAGCAGGCUGGCAGGGAUGGAAGGGGAGGAAGGGGAGGAAGGGAAGCAGGCUGGCAGGGAUGGAAGGGGAGGAAGGGGAGGAAGGGAAGCAGGCUGGCAGGGAUGGAAGGGGAGGAAGGGGAGGAAGGGAAGCAGGCUGGCAGGGAUGGAAGGGGAGGAAGGGGAGGAAGGGAAGCAGGCUGGCAGGGAGAGCUGCUCUUCCAGCAGAGCGAACAGCAGCAGGCAAAGCCCUGUGCAGCUCCCAGGAGCAAUCAGGGCUGAGACAGGGUGGGGAAGUUUCCUGCCACCCUUCAGGGAUGGGGCCGGGGCUGGGGACAGCAGCAUGCCCGUCCUCUCCCCCCGCAGCCUCCCUGGCUGGGAGCAGCCCCCAGGCAGCAGGAUGCAGACCCAGAGACCCCCCCCCAUCGCCGGGCUGAGCAGGAAGUGCGGGGGAUCCUGGGAGCGGGGAAUUUGGCAGGAGAGCAGCGAUGCCACGAGGUGAAUGUUUUGGGAGUUGCGUGUGUGGCUGCCUUGGCUGGAGCGAGGGCUCAGAGCUGCCUUGGGCCUGCAAGAGCUGGGGGGGGGGGGGGGGGGGGGGGGGGGGGGGGGGGGGGGGGGGGGGGGGG
rnacentral:lncRNA from 12 species